GACGUAGGGCGCGAGCGUUGUCCGGAUUUAUUGGGCGUAAAGAGCUCGUAGGCGGCUUGUCGCGUCGGCUGUGAAAACCCGCGGCUCAACUGUGGGCGGGCAGCUGAUACGGGCAGGCUGGAGUUCGGUAGGGGAGACUGGAAUUCCUGGUGUAGCGGUGAAAUGCGUAGAUAUCUGGAGGAACACCGGUGGCGAAGGCGGCAUCCUGGACCGGUAUUGACGCUGAGGCGCGAAAGCUAGGGGAGCAAACGGG
rnacentral:rRNA from 1 species